AUUGCAACCGAUUUAAUUGGUUAAAUGCUACCCAAAGUCUCGGCUUCAUCACUGACCCGAAACGUCUGUGUUAUUGACAAGUCGCGAAGCUACUUUUGGCACCAAUUUGGAGUCGCAAAUUGAUCCGUUCAGCAAAGAAACUUGUAGGUAAGACAGUAGAAAUUCUUAACUUUCAUAUGCAUCUUUUAGAAUAAAAAACUAACGCUGUCUUCGUUGGUUUUUAACGAGUUAAUGUAGGCUCGUGACCAUGCAAAAAUAUUUUCAAAGUGUCCUAAGUGAGUAAGUUGCAUGAGAAGGCUUAUGGAAAAUUCUGAAUUGGUAUUCGGGUUAUUUUCCAUCACAUUUGUAGGUUGUUUAAUUAGAAAAUAUGUAAU
rnacentral:lncRNA from 1 species